CUGGUGUACCAGUUGUUCCGCCAGGGGCAUAGCUGGGUAGCUACGUGUGGCAAGGAUAAGUGCUGAAAGCAUCUAAGCAUGAAGCCCCCCUCAAGAUGAGACUUCCCAUCACUUCGAGUGAGUAAGAUCCCUCAGAGACGAUGAGGUUGAUAGGUCCGAGGUGGAAGCGUGGUGACACGUGUAGCUGACGGAUACUAAUAGAUCGAGGACUUAACUAA
rnacentral:rRNA from 1 species